rnacentral:rRNA from 1 species
UACGUAGGGGGCAAGCGUUGUCCGGAUUUAUUGGGCGUAAAGAGCUCGUAGGCGGCUUGUCGCGUCGACUGUGAAAUCCCGCGGCUCAACUGCGGGUCUGCAGUCGAUACGGGCAGGCUAGAGUUCGGUAGGGGAGACUGGAAUUCCUGGUGUAGCGGUGAAAUGCGCAGAUAUCAGGAGGAACACCGGUGGCGAAGGCGGGUCUCUGGGCCGAUGACUGACGUGAGGAGCGAAAGCGUGGGGAGCGAACAGG